rnacentral:rRNA from 1 species
AUUGAACGCUGGCGGCAUGCCUUACACAUGCAAGUCGAACGGCAGCACGGGAGCUUGCUCCUGGUGGCGAGUGGCGAACGGGUGAGUAAUAUAUCGGAACGUACCCUAGAGUGGGGGAUAACGCAGCGAAAGUUGCGCUAAUACCGCAUACGAUCUAUGGAUGAAAGCGGGGGAUCGCAAGACCUCGCGCGAUUGGAGCGGCCGAUAUCAGAUUAGGUAGUUGGUGAGGUAAAGGCUCACCAAGCCAACGAUCUGUAGCUGGUCUGAGAGGACGACCAGCCACACUGGAACUGAGACACGGUCCAGACUCCUACGGGAGGCAGCAGUGGGGAAUUUUGGACAAUGGGCGCAAGCCUGAUCCAGCAAUGCCGCGUGCAGGAUGAAGGCCUCGGUU